UAAGACUCAGGCUGCUCUUGGCUGAGAGCCAGUUAUAUCUGUUCUUAUCAGUUUAAUAUCUGAUAUGUCCUUUAUUUGAGGACUGUAUAUUAAAUUGAUUUUUGAAACAGGGGGAUGGAAUAGGAGCUUGCUCUGUCCACCCCAUGCAUUGACCUGGUAUUGCAGUGUCUCCAGAAAAUGGGAGUGGAUU
ensembl:snRNA U2 U2 spliceosomal RNA